rnacentral:SRP_RNA from 1 species
UAAAGUAGGGGAUGUGGGGCACCUUUUAUUCAUGAUAGCAUGCAUGCCUCAUGCGCAUAUCCAGUUCCACGCUCAAGAGACGGCGAGACACAAGCGAGACACCAGCGACCGAAGCGCGAAAGUACCACUGUCUCGACUCUCUCUGU